rnacentral:rRNA from 1 species
UAUGGAGAGUUUGAUCCUGGCUCAGAAUAAACGCUGGCGGCGUGCCUAACACAUGCAAGUCGAACGAGAAAGUUUCUUCGGAAACAAGUAAAGUGGCGGACGGGUGAGAAACGCGUGAGAAUUUCCCUUUCAGUGAAGAAUACCUCCGAGAAAUCGGAGUUAAUACUGCAUACGCCCUACGGGGUAAAAGGUGGCCUCUUUGCUACCGCUGAAAGAUAAGCUUGCGUACUAUUAGCUAGUUGGUGAGGUAAUGGCUUACCAAGGCAAUGAUGGUUAGCCGGCCUGAGAGGGUGUACGGCCACACUGGGACUGAGANNNNNNNNNNNNNNNNNNNNNNNNNNNNNNNNNNNNNNCAGCAGCCGCGGUAAUACGAGGGGAGCGAGCGUUAUUCGGAAUCACUGGGCGUAAAGAGCGUGAAGGUGGUUGAUUAAGUCAGCUGUUAAAUACCUCGGCCUAACUGAGGAUCGGCGGUUGAUACUGAUUGGCUAGAGCUUAGGAGAGAGAAGUGGAAUUAUCGGAGUAGCGGUAAAAUGCGUANNAACAGGAUUAGAUACCCUGGUAGUCCACGCUGUAAACGAUGAUCACUAAAUGUGGGUUUUGUUUAGCAAAAUCUGUGUUGAAGCUAACGCGAUAAGUGAUCCGCCUGAGUAGUACGGUCGCAAGACUAAAACUCAAAGGAAUUGACGGGGGUCCGCACAAGCGGUGGAACAUGUGGUUUAAUUCGACACUACGCGAGGAACCUUACCUAGGCUUGACAUAUAUCUGACUGCUAUAGAAAUAUAGUUUUCUAAGUUUACUUAGACAGAUAAACAGGUGCUGCAUGGCUGUCGUCAGCUCGUGUCGUGAGAUGU